GUAUGUUGCUUCUUGUGCCAUACGCUUGAAGUAGAACACAGAACUACACAUGCAGAGCGUUGUGAUGACUUAGUAACAACAUUGCUGUCACCUCUAGGUUCGGGAUAGCGACUUCAGUGGGUGUUGAAUUUGCGGAGGGCGAUGAGAUAAUGCAUACGGCGACAGUACCCGUCUUGCAACCUCACCGCCAGGAACGCUCGAAGGAUUCAACCUCCUUGCUGUCCACGCCCUGCGAAUACUGGGUUCGUGCGUGAAGGGUUCCGAAGCAAUAAAGAACAUGUUUGUGCAUUAUGAUACACCUGUGCCGGUGACACCGUGCAUCAUGUUCACUGGGAGCAGCAUUGAAGAAGCGGAGCAUAUGGACCUCUAUGUCGGCGAGUAGCACCUUCUCAGAACCAUCGACCUUGAAGAGGGAUUGGCUGCCAUUCUUGCAGCUAUUGGUUAAUUCAUAUUGUCUACAGUGCAAAGCCGCACCGUACAUUUUGAAGCCUGGAAGAGCGGUGCCUGAAAGUGAGUGACUCUCGUGUAAGAAGCCCCGUGGAUCAAUUUUUUCAACAGUUACGGAAAAGAGCUUG